rnacentral:rRNA from 1 species
UACAGAGACUGCAAGCGUUGUUCGGAUUCAUUGGGCGUAAAGGGUCCGUAGGCGGUCGGUUAAGUCGGAUGUGAAAUCUCACAGCCUAACUGUGAGCGGUCAUUCGAAACUAAUCGGCUAGAGGGCUGGAGAGGAGACUGGAAUUGUCGGUGUAGCGGUGAAAUGCGUAGAGAUCGACAAGAACACCGGUGGCGAAGGCGGGUCUCUGGACAGUUCCUGACGCUGAGGGACGAAAGCAUGGGGAGCGAACAGG